rnacentral:snRNA from 1 species
GGAUGCAAGGGCCAUCUGGCUGAGACACCCGUCACGCCAUUAAUCACCAGAGUUGAUUUGGCUGAUCUGGCAGGCUGGCAGGGUGUCCUCUUGCUUUGUCACCACUCCAUCUGUGUCCCUCUUGAAACUUCAAGCUCAGUCAGAGAACCACCUUAUCCCACAGGGUAGAACCACUUCCGUGGUCAAGGGCAUACAAGUAGUUGGGCUCUUCUGCUAGAAUCUCCAAGCAAGCUCUCAAAAUCAGUGCUAUUAAUCAAAAGUCCCCUUGGGAGAAAGCAUUUAUCAUUAAGUCACCCUGAAUAGAUCCCACGUAAGCACUGGAUAUGACAGCUGACCUG